rnacentral:lncRNA from 1 species
UUUUUUUUUUCUUCAUAGGAUUUUGGGAAGACUGAGGCAAUCAUUGCUAAAAGUUAGUGUUAUAUUGGUGAACUGGAUUUUUUUUUCGUAAGAGAGGAAAAGGCUCGUACUCUUGAUUGCUGUUGGAAUGGGAGAUACUUCUGUGGUUGAAAUUCAGAGUUAUCUAGAAGGUUGAGUAUGCUGAAUGCAUGCGUGGUUGUGUUAAUCUGACUGUACGGAUAGAGGAUAUCUGCCAACAGUUUAAAGAGGUUUUGGGAAUUGGCAAAUUGGGGUUUGUUUAGGGUUUUUGUGAUAACUGGGACCUACCGACAGGGAUAAGAGGAAUAUCGGUGAGUGGCCAAAGAACAUUGGUGCGGAUUGCAGUAUAGCCUCACAAUCUGUAAGCGGGGUUAAACUGGAACUUCUUGAACAUUCGAAAGGGCUUGCAAAGACACUAGCGAUAGAUGUUUCACAACAAGUUGGAAGGAUAGAUUGAGGAUCAUAGCUUGCCGAAGUUCACGGUCUAGGAUUAAGGUAAUUAACGAUAAAGAUAAAAUAAAAAACAUAAAAUAAAUAAAAUAAAAUAAAAAUAACAAAAGAGAUUGAAGUUAUAUAGGGUCUCUAGGAGUUUUAUAUUGGAAUUAAGAUUUUACAUUACAAUCCGAUAUAGAUUGUAUUUAGGUAGUCAAGAACAUGAUAGACUGCUUGAGUACUAGCGAAAUAUCAUACUACCUCCUACAGCUAGACGCCCGGCGCGUUCUCAAGCAAGAUAGCACGUAAUACGACAUAAGUGGUGAACUCGACGUGAAAGCUUGAGGUGGAAGGUAUUGGAUUUCAUGUGAUUUUAUUUUUAUUUCUAUGGAGAAUGAAAAUAAAUUUUUUUAAGGAUCUUUGGAAGGAGUUUCUAGUAGGGGUUCUUCUAAAGAACAAGGUAUGCACAUGGAUCUGUCUAUUGCUAGUAUGUUUCAAGCCUUCUCAUUAUCAAUGCAACAACAGCAAAGCAAUGAUCGAAAAGAAGCUUUGGCAACCAAAGCAUUGCAAGCAGUGGUCAAUAAAAUUGAUCAAUUUGAUGGAAGGAAUAUUUCAAGGUAUUUAAGAUGUUAUGUUUGUGAAAUGGAAUUAAAUUGGAUUUUUGAGAAGAAAAUGGUUGAAUUAUUUGGACUUGCCAUGAUACCGGAGAUAAGAGACUAUAUUACAUCGAUUACGGAUCGUUAUGGGAAUUCAUGGGAGGUUUUUUCUCAUGCAUUGAAAGACGAAUAUUUCUUGGAAGAUGCUGAUUGCAUUACUAAGAAGCUGUUUCAAAAAUGGAUUGAACGGCCUAAUAAAAAUUUGCAAGCAACAGAGCUACUAAGGAAAUUUGAGAGGCAGUACUCUCAAUUAUCGAAGGUAGAAAAAUUGACAUUAGAGCCGAACAAAGUUGUUCUAUUUCUUCAAGCUGUUGAUGGAGAAUUGCAAGGGAAAUUGGAACUCCUUCUUGAAGACAAAGAAAAAGAUGAAGGAUUGACAACAAAGUGGAAGAACAUUGAAGAUGCGGUGGGGUUGCUUGCAAAAAGAGAAAGGAGGAAGAAUAGGAGUAAUAUUCCGAAAACAAUACAAGCACUCAAAGCUCUAGUACGUACAACACCACCAACAAUGCCUACAAUUCAACCUUCGACAUCCUUAUCAAAGAAAGCCGAUAUGGAGAUGGAAGAAAUUAUACGAGGGAUGCGAGAUCUUCAAAUCAAAUUAGCAAGACUUGAAGAGAAUACUUCUACAAACAAUUUGAAGAAUGUUUCAAAACAAGGAUAUGUACAAAGAUGCAUUUGGUGUGAUGACGCUUCAUAUACUAGGAAAGAUUGCAAUGAAUUUAAUAAUAUGAUAUGGCAAGGAAUUAUUUCUUGGAAAGAUGGAAAGAUAGCAUUAAAAGAUAGGGAGGAUCUUCUUCAAACUAAUUUUGGUAAGGGGAGGAAUGAGAGCAUUAGUUCAAGAUUACUUAAAAGAGCAUGAAACAGCAGCAUGAGAAAGUGCAAGUUAUGGUGCUAGAGUAGAUGAUGACCUUGGUGGAAUUACGGAAACUAGUGAGUUUUGGGCUUCUGUCAUUUCUAUAAUGCAAGAAGGCAAAUUACCUCAAGAAGUGUUAUUGAGGACUGCAGCUACAAUACGAGGUAAAACAGGUUGGGAGGAUCAUGUUGAGUCUCUUUCAGUUCAUGCAUAUAUUGCUAAAAGCCAACAUAAAGCUUUGAUGGAAGAAAAGAGACGAGGAAAUUUUGAUGAUACGAAAGAAGGAAAUUCUUUUAAGAGGCAAACUCGAGGAGACAAGGCUCGGGAGGCAGCUUCACAAGAAUUGCCUGUAAAGGAUACCUCAGCAUCAUUGGAAGAAAAAGCAAGGGAGACAAAAGAUAAGGGCAAAUCAAUUACUUAUAAGCUACUUUCUGACAUUGAAGCGGCAACAAAUUUGAAAGGGAUGUUGGAAGAACAUAUAUUAAAUGCUAAGGUGGAAUUCACAUUGAAAGAAGUUUUGAAAAUUGUAAAGAAGGAGUUUCAUGAUGUUAUCAUUGACAACAUUAAGCAAAAGAGGUAAUUAAUGGACGAAACUGGAAUGAGUCAUGCUAUUGAUGUAAGAAUAUAUAAAGAUGAAGAAGAGGUUGAUAAUGGUUACAAGUAAUUAACAAAUGAAAAGAAUGGGUAUAAUCAACAAGUACGUUUUGAAGAUUAUAGUGAUAAGGAAAUGGAAACUUUGAGCCAUUAUACUCGAAAGCAUUGGGCAAGGGCAACUACUGAGGUAUUGGUGAAAGUAGGAGAUAUAGAAGAACCAAUUGUUGCUUUAGUCGACCAUGGUUCUGAAAUAAAUCUUAUGUCUAAAGAUCUUUAUAAGAAGCAAAAAUGGCGAAUUGAUAUGGAACAUGGAUAGACAAUAUGAGCAGCUAAUAACACACGGGGCGAAUUAUAUGGAGCUUGUCCAGAUGUCAAAAUUUGGAUUGGGGAUGUUACGACGGAGCAACAUUUCUUUGUUCAAGAUACAACGUCUUAUCCGUUGAUUUUAGGACAACCUUAUAUUACGACAACACGGAUAGAAAUAAAAGUACUUGACGAUGGUUUUGCUUAUGCAAGGGUACAUAGCAAAGAUGGAAAGAAAGUUGUACAAUUUCUAACAGUACCUCCUAACCAUGAACGGAAUCGAGAUAGGUUGAGGGAGAAACCAUUGCCAAAGAUUGUUGAAGGAUUUAAGGAUUUUGGAGAGGUACCACUAUAAAGCGAGAUUAUGGAGGUACAAAAGAGGAGGUACUCUCGCAAGAUGAAGGUACCUUUGAUGCGAGUUUUAUUGGUAUUUUGGAAAAUAGAAAUAUUAUGUAUAAGAAAGUUGAUGAUUUUAAAAGAAAAGAAAGAAAAAGAUUAUAUAAUAUUCAAGGAGAAUUACGUAAGUUAGAUACAUUGCAAGAUGAUGAGAGGAUUUUAGGUGUUUAUGAAGAAAAUGGACUGGAAGAUUCAUUGGAAUUGAUUACAUCUAUUGGGUUAGGGAAUAAUGAUAAGAUUGUUGAGAUUCAUUCAAGAGAGGUUUAUAUCAUACUUGAAUCUUUUCAAGCACCAGAAGUCACUGUAGAGAUGAGAUAUAAAAUGACAAAUAAGAAGGUAAAGCCCAUUGCCGGACCAUUACCAAAAGAUUUUAAGGAACAAAUGGGAGAAGCAUCAAAAGAAGCAAGUUUAAGAGAUCCAAUGAGUAUUGGACAUCAGUUUACUAAAGAGACUUUUGAAGAAUUGAAGAUUGGUUUUGAUGGUUAUUUAUUGCCGGAGGAAAUUACUUGCUUCAAAAAGAUGUUGGCUAAACAAGGUAGAUCGUUUGCCUUCGAAUCUUAUGAAAUUGGGUGUAUGGAUCCGAAUAUUAUAACACCCAUGGUUAUCUUCACUGUAUUGCAUGUACCUUGGAAUCUAAGACCGAUUCCAGUAUCGAGGGCACAUUUACCUAAAUUGAUAGAACUAUUAAAAGAAAAGAUGAAGAUGAAAAUAUUAGAACCCUCAUUUGCACCAUAUUCUAGUCGAUGGUUUACAGUACCUAAGAAGAAUGGAUCACUACGUUUUAUUCAAGAUAUGCAACCGAUGAAUGUAGUAACUGUCAAGAAUGCAAGAAUUGGACCUAUUGUGGAUGAAUUUACUCAGGCAUUUGCAGGAAGGACGAUCUAUUCAAUAGGUGACUUGUAUUCAGGUUAUGAUCAAUUUCAACUUGUCGAAGGAAGUAGAGAUAUGACAAUGAUGAGGACACCACUUGGAUUGGUUAGAAUGUGCACUCUUCAUCAAGGCGUGACCAACUCAGUUGCACAUAUGAUGAAUGGGAUGACUAAGAUAUUGAGAGAUUUUAUUCCGAAAAAAAACUAUACUUUUUUUGGAUGAUAUUCCUAUAAAAAGGUGCAAGAAAGUGAGUGUAAUUAUUUAAACAAAGAUAUGUAGAAAUAAAUAUAGAAGACCUUAAUGAAGACAUAGAUAUUCCGCAGUGGGAAGAUGAAAUUGAUUUGGAUAUCAGAGACAGUGGAGAUGGACUAGACGAAGAUUAAGAGAACAUAUUAUGAAUCAAAUAACAACUAGGUUAAUUGGUGCAUACCGGAGGAUGCACAGGUUCAGAGGGGGUGGAUGUCGUGUUGUAACACGUCUACAUGAUGAAAAUAUAAAUGAAGAAGAUUUAUUAAAAUUUAGUCACCUUGGGUGUCAGAAGCUGAGGCCAAUUCUAAUGCAAAUAUUGAGAGGCCAGGUUCAGUAACCUCGUUACAGUCAGCCAAGGCAUACUCACCAGUAACGAAAUGCUCCAUUCGAUUCCAAUAACGAGAGUCAAUAGAAAGAGAAAGGACCAAUUCAAUGAUGGGUGAGCUUGGUUCAAAGAGCCAAUUGGAUCCAAUUUUAGAAGACCUCAAAUCCAGGUCCUAUUACGGGCCUCUUAUCCAAUAUGAGACUUGACUUGGUCGAGCAACCCAAUGUGGUCCGAUUACAGGCUUCAAUUUUAUUUCAGGUUGUUUCGAUUCUUUGUACCAUUUCGGGAUCGUGCUUUUGGUAAAAAGAUCUCUUAAAGGCAAAAAUGAGCGGGGAGAAAGCUCCGUCGGCUGUUCCAAUUUGGAGAAUCCAAGGCAAAAGAAUAGGAUCUUCUUAGGGUAAAAGGAGAGGAUAAGUUAAGAAAUGAGGAGGGGGGGAGAAUUAGGGUUUUAGGUCGGAGAGCUAGCUUCAUGCUUUGGGGAGGAAAAGACAGAGAGUUGGGGUUUUUAUUUUCUUCAUAGGAUUUUGGGAAGACUGAGGCAAUCGUUGCUGAAAGUUAGUGUUAUAUUGGUAAACUAGAUUUUUUUUUCGUAAGAGAGGAAAAGGCUCGUACUCUUGAUUAUUGUUGGAAUGAGAGAUACUUCUGUGGUUGAAAUUCAGAGUUGUCUAGAAGGUUGAGUAUGCUGAAUGCAUGCGUGGUUGUGUUAAUCUGACUGUACGGAUAGAGGAUAUCUGCCAACAGUUUAAAGAGGUUUUGGG